rnacentral:piRNA from 1 species
AUAACUGGGAUAAGAGGUGUUCAU